AAUAUUUUCAAAUCCAGGAUAUUUUUUAUUUAAUUUUAUGUCUAUAAUUAAGUAAAAAAAAACAUGCCAAAAUGCUACAUAUUAAUCCAACCCACAUUGUCAAACAUGGAAUAAUAUAUGCAAAGAUUGAUUAAUAAUAAUAAGAUUCUAAGUUAGAUUUGGCCAGAAUGUACACAACAUAACAUAACAUAACUUUUUUUUUUUUUUUUUUUGCAAAACGCUACAUCCACCUUAGGCUAUAUUAUACUACAUUAAUACCAUUACCAAAAGCUAGUGAAUCAAUGUUUUGUUUGAUAAGUAAGAUUAAGUUAGUUAGAUAAAUGACCUUUAGCUUGGUACAGAAAGAGUGGGGGGCGGCUCCUUCCACACCGCUGCAGAAAACCAAACCUGUAUGAUUAGAGCGGGCGGAGCUGAGUCCGUGACACAAACUUGCCUCGCUAUGUCAUAUUUAAUGAAUUAUUUCACUGUAAUAAUAAUAAUAGCUUAUUUAUUUGGUUGUGAAAAAGCUAAACCGUUUUCUCCAUAACAACAUGUGCCCUUUAAGUUCCUUUAUAAUAAAUCAACAACAACAAGAAUUAAUUUUAAAUAAUAGGUGCAACCACAUAAAUAAAUCUUCAGAUAGGCUACUCAGCUACAUUUAAGAAAUUAUUUAAAAAAUAAACUUAUAAGGGACACUUGCAGACAGGUAUCUUGUGAUGGGGAGUAGGAAAAAAGGCGCUCCUAGGCCUUCUCUUGACAUCAGCGGAGACUCGUUCCCUGCUGCAUUUGUGUAUUGUUGACGCAGAAGUAUCUUAUUCUGGUCCACUUUUGUGGCCUUUUUAUUAUUUUUUUGUGAAAUUGAAGACUUCAUCUUCUAUCGCUAAAUCAAUGAGCAAACUCUGAGCACUUCACCGGCGAUGACUCUCUUCCCAGGGGAUGCUGAGCUCGCGCCGCAUCCUGAACGCUCUCUAACUGUUAUAUCGCACUUUGUAAAGAAACUGGUCUGACGGAUAUUGCGUUUUGUAAAAAAAAAAUACGUUUUGUACUUGGCCUAAAAUGUGCAUUCUUAAAUGUUAUUAAUGGCAGCAAUUCACACAUAGAUUAAGGUACAUCUGAACAGUGAUUUCCAAUAAUAAAAUCCAAAUGUCAAAAAAUGCCGUUUAUCGCAUUUUGCAACCUAACUGUUCAUAUGUAUGUGUGUGUUAUGAAUGUAUGACUGCAGAAGAGAACUGCUCUGUUCCCACAACUCAGUUUUUCUGGGACUUGAAAACAGACGCUCAGCAGAUUUUAAAGGGUGGAAUCUUGAUCAAAUCAGAAAGUUACAGUGGAUCGUGAUUUUGGAGGAGGUGAAGUCCAAUCUAAAAGAGUCCCCUCAAGUAUCAUCACCAUGGUACAGUGUCUGUGAAGAUAGUGAAGCAGACCCAGCAUUCACAAAAAAGAGAGGUCCCAUAAAGAGAAGAUCCUGGAGCAAACAGGAAGUACAUGCUGUGGUGAAAGCUGAACCAUUGGCUCUAAAAACCAGAGAUUGGUCAGCUUUGGAUUUUUAUAUUAAAAACUGAAUCUCGGCUCUUUAGAUA